AGUGAACGCUGGCGGUAGGCCUAACACAUGCAAGUCGAACGGCAGCACAGUAAGAGCUUGCUCUUACGGGUGGCGAGUGGCGGACGGGUGAGGAAUACAUCGGAAUCUACUUUUUCGUGGGGGAUAACGUAGGGAAUCUUACGCUAAUACCGCAUACGACCUACGGGUGAAAGCAGGGGAUCUUCGGACCUUGCGCGAUUGAAUGAGCCGAUGUCGGAUUAGCUAGUUGGCGGGGUAAAGGCCCACCAAGGCGACGAUCCGUAGCUGGUCUGAGAGGAUGAUCGGCCACACUGGAACUGAGACACGGUCCAGACUCCUACGGGAGGCAGCAGUGGGGAAUAUUGGACAAUGGGCGCAAGCCUGAUCCAGCCAUACCGCGUGGGUGAAGAAGGCCUUCGGGUUGUAAAGCCCUUUUGUUGGGAAAGAAAAGCAGCAGGUUAAUACCCCGCUGUUCUGACGGUACCCAAAGAAUAAGCACCGGCUAACUUCGUG
rnacentral:rRNA from 1 species